rnacentral:rRNA from 1 species
UAAGUCGUAACAAGGUUUCCGUAGGUGAACCUGCGGAAGGAUCAUUA